UACUGUCUCUAACUGCCUUCAUCUCCCCAUAGAAACAACAGUGACAGCUUUAUUACAGGUCAUACUGUCUCUAACUGCCUUCAUCUCCCCAUAGAAACAACAGUGACAGCUUUAUUACAGGUCAUACUGUCUCUAACUGCCUUCAUCUCCCCAUAGAAACAACAGUGACAGCUUUAUUACAGGUCAUACUGUCUCUAACUGCCUUCAUCUCCCCAUAGAAACAACAGUGACAGCUUUAUUACAGGUCAUACUGUCUCUAACUGCCUUCAUCUCCCCAUAGAAACAACAGUGACAGCUUUAUUACAGGUCAUACUGUCUCUAACUGCCUUCAUCUCCCCAUAGAAACAACAGUGACAGCUUUAUUACAGGUCAUACUGUCUCUAACUGCCUUCAUCUCCCCAUAGAAACAACAGUGACAGCUUUAUUACAGGUCAUACUGUCUCUAACUGCCUUCAUCUCCCCAUAGAAACAACAGUGACAGCUUUAUUACAGGUCAUACUGUCUCUAACUGCCUUCAUCUCCCCAUAGAAACAACAGUGACAGCUUUAUUACAGGUCAUACUGUCUCUAACUGCCUUCAUCUCCCCAUAGAAACAACAGUGACAGCUUUAUUACAGGUCAUACUGUCUCUAACUGCCUUCAUCUCCCCAUAGAAACAACAGUGACAGCUUUAUUACAGGUCAUACUGUCUCUAACUGUCUUCAUCUCCCCAUAGAAACAACAGUGGC